rnacentral:lncRNA from 1 species
UCAUCAGCUGUUAGAGGGAGAUGAUGGCGCUACAGAAGCAGUCUUACGGUCCCUAAACUGAUGGCUAGCACCACCUACAGGGAAAUUCCGAUUUCAUACUUCUACACCUGGUAGAAGUGAACAUCAGUACCUCUUUAAAAAAAGCGUCAUGUUGGAUUAAGGUUGUGAGGUAUUAAUUCAUAGAUAUUACAGAAAACAACUUACAUAUUUGUCGUAAACUGUAGUUGUAUUACAUCCUAUCUAAUGCAUAAAUGAGUGAUUGAAAAAUAUAAGUUCAAGCUGCAAACCAAAUGCUACAGUCCAAAUUAAUGUGAAAGGGAAUAACAUAAGCUUGAACACUGAUAUUUUAUGAGGGCUUCCUUGUAGUGCUUAUAGUUCAUAUUUUGUCCAUAUAUUUCGUUGAAGUCACACAUUCUUCGAGUAAAAAGUAAUAAACAGUCUUAAGUGACAUUUAACUUUGUCCAUUUUUCACUAACUAACCAUAACCAUUUUGACAAUUUAUCAUCUUUAGCUUCAUUAGAAACGUUAGAAAUUUCGUUAUUACUAAAAUAAGGAAAACAAAAAGAAAUAGUUAUAAUGUUAUUUUUCUUAAUAUGCAGAAUAUCUUAUUUAAGAAAAUUUCCUUGAAUAUAUGUAAAACUGUUGAUAAUACAUAUCACUUACCUGAAAAAAGAUCCCGUGACAUUUUCAAGGCUAGGAUCUAAUGCAACAUAUAAAAUAGAUUGAGCUCCUUGUUUAGGUGACUUUAUAAAAGGCCAUAUAAAUGGUUUAAUCAAAUAUCUUAAAAAAAGAACUUUAAAUAUUGUCAUGUGUCUUGUUAUUUCUGUAUCAACAAUCCCUGGAUGAACUGCAUUAACUGUGACUUGUGUUCCUAAAUAACAUGCUUAUUUAUUUAAUUGAAUAAAUGCUAAAUAUAUUAUUAAAA